AUUGGGUUUAAAGGGUGCGUAGGUUGAUUAUUAAGUCAGUGGUGAAAUUCCGGGCUCAACCCGGGACUUGCCGUUGAAACUGAUAAUCUUGAGUGUAACUGAUGUGGGCGGAAUGUGUCAAGUAGCGGUGAAAUGCAUAGAUAUGACACAGAACACCGAUUAGCGAAGGCAGCUCACAAAAUUACAACUGACACUGAGGGCACGAAAGCGUGGGUAUCAAACAGGAUUAGAUACCCUGGUAGUCCACGCUGUAAACGAUGAUCACUAGCUGUUUGCGAUACAUUGUAAGUGGUUAAGCGAAAGCGAUAAGUGAUCCACCUGGGGAGUACGUCGGCAACGAUGAAACUCAAAGGAAUUGACGGGGGCCCGCACAAGCGGAGGAGCAUGUGGUUUAAUUCGAUGAUACGCGAGGAACCUUACCUGGGCUUGAACGUAUGGUGCAUGAGUGUGAAAGCACUCUUUCCUUCACAGGACUUCAUACGAGGUGCUGCAUGGUUGUCGUCAGCUCGUGCCGUGAGGUGUUAGGUUAAGUCCUGCAACGAGCGCAACCCCUGUUUUUAGUUGCCAGCAGGUUAUGCUGGGCACUCUAGAAAGACUGCCUGCGCAAGCAGAGAGGAAGGUGGGGAUGACGUCAAAUCAGCACGGCCCUUACGUCCAGGGCUACACACGUGCUACAAUGGUCGGCACAGAGGGUGGCUACCCGGCAACGGGAUGCUAAUCUCCAAAGUCGAUCUUAGUUCGGAUCGAAGUCUGCAACUCGACUUCGUGAAGUUGGAUUCGCUAGUAAUCGUAUAUCAGCCAUGAUACGGUGAAUACGUUCCCGGGCCUUGUACACACCGCCCGUCAAGCCAUGGAAGUUGGGGGUACCUGAAGUCGAUUACCGUAAGGGAUUGCCUAGGGUAAAACCGAUCACUGGGGCUAAGUCGUAACAAGGUA
rnacentral:rRNA from 1 species